rnacentral:rRNA from 1 species
CGCCCUAGUUCUGACCGUAAACUAUGCCAUCUAGCGAUCCGAUGGGGUAUUGUUGCCUUGUCGAGGAGCUUCCCGGAAACGAAAGUCUUUCGGUUCCUGGGGUAGUAUGGUUGCAAAGCUGAAACUUAAAGAAAUUGACGGAAUGGCACCACCAGGAGUGGAGCCUGCGGCUUAAUUUGACUCAACACGGGAAAACUCACCCGGCCCGGACACCGUAAGGAUUGACAGAUUGAANGCUCUUUCUCGAUUUGGUGGUUGGUGGUGCAUGGCCGUUCUUANUUGG